GAAAUGCGAUAAGUAAUGUGAAUUGCAGAAUUCAGUGAAUCAUCGAAUCUUUGAACGCACAUUGCGCCCGCCAGUAUUCUGGCGGGCAUGCCUGUUCGAGCGUCAUUUCAACCAUCAAGCCCCCGGCUUGUGUUGGGGACCUGCGGCUGCCCGCAGGCCCUGAAAAACAGUGGCGGGCUCGCUGUCACACCGAGCGUAGUAGCAUACAUUCUCGCUCAGGGCGUGCUGCGGGUUCCGGCCGUUAAACGACCUUCAUAACCCAAGGUUGACCUCGGAUCAGGUAGGAAGACCCGCUGAACUUAAGCA
rnacentral:misc_RNA from 1 species